UGUGAAAUUCAAUUUAAUUUGAAUUUAAAGAUUUAUUUUAAUUUUAUAAUUUUUUUUUAUUUAAAUAAAAUAUUUUUUAGUUUUUUUAUUAAUUUAGAUAAAAUUAUUUUUAUUAUAGUUAAUUAGUAUUGUGAAAGAAGAUUGAAAUAUUUUGAAAAAUUAAAAUUUUUAAAAGAAAAAUUUAUUUUUUGUACCUUGUGUAUCAGGGUUUAUUAAAUAAUAAUUAUUUAUUAUUAAUUUUCUCGAAUUUAAAAGAGCUAAAAAAUUAUAAAUUUUAUUGUGUCAUAAAUAUUUAAAAUAAUUUUUUAGUAAUGAAACGUUAUUCGUUUUUAAAUUUAUCUAGUUUUUUAAGAAAUAAAUUUAAUUUAGUUUAUUAUUAUAAUUUUUAAUUAAUUUUUAUAUUAAAAUUAAGUAAUAAAUUAAUAUUUUAAGGGAUAAGCUUUAAAAUAAAAAUUUAAAAAUUAUUUUAUUUUACAGUAAGAAAUUAUUGGAUUAGAAGUUUUUAUUAUUAGAUAGUGUGUUAUAACAAAUUCUUAUUUGAAUAUAAUUUUUAUAUAAUUUUAAAUUUUUUAUUAAAAUUAUUAAUUAAAUUAUAAAUUUAAUGUAAUAAUGAUAAAAUUAGUAUAAUUUUAUUUUGUAUAUUUAAUUUAAAAAUUUAAGGUUAAAUUAAGGAACUCGGCAAAUAUUUUUUUCGCCUGUUUAUUAAAAACAUGUCUUUUUGAUUAUAAUUUAAAGUCUGGCCUGCCCUAUGAAUUAUUUUUAAAUGGCUGCGGUAUUUUGACCGUACAAAGGUAGCAUAAUAAUUAGUUUUUUAAUUGGGAACUGGUAUGAAUGGUCGAACGAGAAAAAGACUGUCUCAAUUUAAAUUAAAUUAGAAUUUUAUUUUUAAGUAAAAAAGCUUAAAUGUAUUUAAAAGACGAGAAGACCCUAUAGAGUUUUAUAUAAUUAUUUUUUAUUUGAAAGUUAAAGUAUUAUAAAUUUAUUUAAUUAAUUUUUUAUUUGGUUGGGGUGAUUAAAAAAUUUAAUAAACUUUUUUUAUAUAAAUUCAUUGAUAUAUGUUUAUGUGAUCCAAUAUUUUUGAUUAUAAGAUUAAAUUACCUUAGGGAUAACAGCGUAAUUUUUUUUUAGAGUUCUUAUCGAAAAAAAAGUUUGCGACCUCGAUGUUGGAUUAAAAUAAACUUUUGGCGUAGCAACUAAAAAGUUGGGUCUGUUCGACCUUUAAAAUUUUACAUGAUCUGAGUUUAAAUCGGCGUGAGCCAGAUUGGUUUCUAUCUUUAAAAAUUUAAAAUAUUUUAGUACGAAAGGACCAAAUAUUUAUAAUAAUUAUUUUAUUAAGAAUAUUAUUAAAAUUAAAAUUACUUUGGCAGAUUAGUGCUU
rnacentral:rRNA from 1 species